UACGUAGGGUGCAAGCGUUGUCCGGAAUUAUUGGGCGUAAAGCGCUCGUAGGCGGUUUGUCGCGUCGGCUGUGAAAACCUAGGGCUCAACCCUGGGCCUGCAGCCGAUACGGGCAAGCUAGAGUUCGGUAGGGGAGACUGGAAUUCCUGGUGUAGCGGUGAAAUGCGCAGAUAUCAGGAGGAACACCGGUGGCGAAGGCGGGUCUCUGGGCCGAUACUGACGCUGAGGAGCGAAAGCGUGGGGAGCAAACAGG
rnacentral:rRNA from 1 species